rnacentral:rRNA from 1 species
AGAGUUUGAUCCUGGCUCAGAAUAAACGCUAGCGGCGUGCCUAACACAUGCAAGUCGAGCGAGAAAGUCCUUCGGGAUGAGUAAAGCGGCGGACGGGUGAGUAAUAUAUGAGAAUCUGCCUUUUAGUGGAGAAUACCUUCGAGAAAUCGAAGUUAAUACUGCAUAUGUCCUUCGGGAGAAAGAUGGCCUCUUUGCUGUCGCUAAAAGAUGAGCUCAUACACUAUCAGCUAGUUGGUGGGGUAAAGGCCUACCAAGGCUAUGACGGUUAGCCGGCCUGAGAGGGUGUACGGCCACACUGGAACUUAGACACGGUCCAGACUCCUACGGGAGGCAGCAGUGGGGAAUAUUGCGCAAUGGGCGAAAGCCUGACGCAGCGACGCCGCGUGGAGGAUGAAGGUCUUAGGAUUGUAAACUUCUGUUAAGUGGGAAGAAAAGUCUACGCUUAAUACGCGUUAGAAAAUGACGGUACCAUUAGAGAAAGCACCGGCUAACUUCGUGCCAGCAGCCGCGGUAAU